GACGAACGCUGGCGGCGUGCUUAACACAUGCAAGUCGAACGGUGAAGCGCCUUCCUUUUUGGUGGGUGUGGAUGAGUGGCGAACGGGUGAGUAACACGUGAGUAACCUGCCCCCUUCUUCUGGAUAACCGCAUGAAAGUGUGGCUAAUACGGGAUAUUCUGGGUCUGUCGCAUGAUGGGUCUGGGAAAGAUAUUGUUUCGGUGGGGGAUGGGCUCGCGGCCUAUCAGCUUGUUGGUGGGGUGAUGGCCUACCAAGGCGGUGACGGGUAGCCGGCCUGGGAGGGUGGACGGUCACACUGGGGAUGAGACACGGAGCAGACUCCGACGGGAGGCAGCAGUGGAGAAUAUUGCACGAUGGGCGCAAGCCUGAUGCAGCGACGCCGCGUGAGGGAUGGAGGCCUUCGGGUUGUGAACCUCUUUCGCCAGUGAAGCAGGCCUGCCUCGUUUGUGGGUGGGUUGACGGUAGCUGGAUAAGAAGCGCCGGCUAACUACGUG
rnacentral:rRNA from 1 species